GACGAACGCUGGCGGCGUGCUUAACACAUGCAAGUCGAACGGAAAGGCCCUGCUUUUGUGGGGUGCUCGAGUGGCGAACGGGUGAGUAACACGUGAGUAACCUGCCCUUGACUUUGGGAUAACUUCAGGAAACUGGGGCUAAUACCGGAUAGGAGCUCCUGCUGCAUGGUGGGGGUUGGAAAGUUUCGGCGGUUGGGGAUGGACUCGCGGCUUAUCAGCUUGUUGGUGGGGUAGUGGCUUACCAAGGCUUUGACGGGUAGCCGGCCUGAGAGGGUGACCGGCCACAUUGGGACUGAGAUACGGCCCAGACUCCUACGGGAGGCAGCAGUGGGGAAUAUUGCACAAUGGGCGGAAGCCUGAUGCAGCAACGCCGCGUGCGGGAUGACGGCCCUCGGGUUGUAAACCGCUUUCGCCUGUGACGAAGCGUGAGUGACGGUAAUGGGUAAAGAAGCACCGGCUAACUACGUGCCAGCAGCCGCGGUGAUACGUAGGGUGCGAGCGUUGUCCGGAUUUAUUGGGCGUAAAGGGCUCGUAGGUGGUUGAUCGCGUCGGAAGUGUAAUCUUGGGGCUUAACCCUGAGCGUGCUUUCGAUACGGGUUGACUUGAGGAAGGUAGGGGAGAAUGGAAUUCCUGGUGGAGCGGUGGAAUGCGCAGAUAUCAGGAGGAACACCAGUGGCGAAGGCGGUUCUCUGGGCCUUUCCUGACGCUGAGGAGCGAAAGCGUGGGGAGCGAACAGGCUUAGAUACCCUGGUAGUCCACGCUGUAAACGGUGGGUACUAGGUGUGGGGUCCAUUCCACGGGUUCCGUGCCGUAGCUAACGCUUUAAGUACCCCGCCUGGGGAGUACGGCCGCAAGGCUAAAACUCAAAGGAAUCGACGGGGCCCCGCACAAGCGGCGGAGCAUGCGGAUUAAUUCGAUGCAACGCGUAGAACCUUACCUGGGUUUGACAUGGAUCGGGAGCGCUCAGAGAUGGGUGUGCCUCUUUUGGGGUCGGUUCACAGGUGGUGCAUGGCUGUCGUCAGCUCGUGUCGUGAGAUGUUGGGUUAAGUCCCGCAACGAGCGCAACCCUUGUUCACUGUUGCCAGCACGUUAUGGUGGGGACUCAGUGGAGACCGCCGGGGUCAACUCGGAGGAAGGUGGGGAUGACGUCAAGUCAUCAUGCCCCUUAUGUCCAGGGCUUCACGCAUGCUACAAUGGCUGGUACAGAGAGUGGCGAGCCUGUGAGGGUGAGCGAAUCUCGGAAAGCCGGUCUCAGUUCGGAUUGGGGUCUGCAACUCGACCUCAUGAAGUCGGAGUCGCUAGUAAUCGCAGAUCAGCAACGCUGCGGUGAAUACGUUCCCGGGGCU
rnacentral:rRNA from 1 species